rnacentral:rRNA from 1 species
GUGGUUUGUCGCGUUGUUCGUGAAAUCUCACGGCUUAACUGUGAGCGUGCGGGCGAUACGGGCAGACUUGAGUACUGCAGGGGAGACUGGAAUUCCUGGUGUAGCGGUGGAAUGCGCAGAUAUCAGGAGGAACACCGGUGGCGAAGGCGGGUCUCUGGGCAGUAACUGACGCUGAGGAGCGAAAGCGUGGGGAGCGAACAGGAUUAGAUACCCUGGUAGUCCACGCCGUAAACGGUGGGUACUAGGUGUGGGUUUCCUUCCUUGGGAUCCGUGCCGUAGCUAACGCAUUAAGUACCCCGCCUGGGGAGUACGGCCGCAAGGCUAAAACUCAAAGAAAUUGACGGGGGCCCGCACAAGCGGCGGAGCAUGUGGAUUAAUUCGAUGCAACGCGAAGAACCUUACCUGGGUUCGACAUGCACAGGACGCCGGCAGAGAUGUCGGUUCCCUUGUGGCCUGUGUGCAGGUGGUGCAUGGCUGUCGUCAGCUCGUGUCGUGAGAUGUUGGGUUAAGUCCCGCAACGAGCGCAACCCUUGUCUCAUGUUGCCAGCGGGUAAUGCCGGGGACUCGUGAGAGACUGCCGGGGUCAACUCGGAGGAAGGUGGGGAUGACGUCAAGUCAUCAUGCCCCUUAUGUCCAGGGCUUCACACAUGCUACAAUGGCCGGUACAAAGGGCUGCGAUGCCGCGAGGUUAAGCGAAUCCUUUUAAAGCCGGUCUCAGUUCGGAUCGGGGUCCGCAACUCGACCCCGUGAAGUCGGAGUCACUAGUAAUCGCAGAUCAGCAACGCUGC